rnacentral:rRNA from 1 species
GAUGAACGCUAGCGGCAGGCCUAACACAUGCAAGUCGAACGGUAACAUGAGUAGCAAUACUUGAUGACGAGUGGCGCACGGGUGCGUAACGCGUAUGCAACUUACCUCUAACUGGAGAAUAGCCUUCCGAAAGGAAGAAUAAUACUCCAUAAUAUUACGAUGUGGCAUCACAUUGUUCUUAAAGCUUCGGCGGUUAGAGAUGGGCAUGCGUCUGAUUAGCUUGUUGGUGAGGUAACGGCUCACCAAGGCAACGAUCAGUAGGGGGCCUGAGAGGGUUAUCCCCCACACUGGUACUGAGACACGGACCAGACUCCUACGGGAGGCAGCAGUGAGGAAUAUUGGUCAAUGGACGAAAGUCUGAACCAGCCAUGCCGCGUGCAGGAUGAAUGCCCUAUGGGUUGUAAACUGCUUUUAUAUAGGAAUAAACCCCUUUACGUGUAAAGGGCUGAAGGUACUAUAAGAAUAAGGACCGCUAACUCCGUGCCAGCAGCCG